rnacentral:pre_miRNA from 1 species
AUUAUACUCCCUCCGUCCGAAAAUACUUGUCAUCAAAAUGGACAAAAAGGGAUNAAAUACUUGUCAUCAAAAUGGACAAAAAGGGAUGUAUCUAAAACUAAAAUACAUCUAGAUACAUCCCUUUUAUCCAUUUUGAUGACAAGUAUUUCCGGACGGAGGGAGUAUAUA